UAUGGGUCUGUGGUUGCAAGUCGAAGCCAGUCGCAGGCGAAACGAUCCACGUAAGCGGGCAAAGAUCCGUGAGCAUGGUGCGGCUUAGAAGUAAGACCAACCGGGUGACCGAGAGGGGCAGUAGUGGGGAGCCAUAUGGGCUUAGGAGCGAACCCUCCUGUUGGCGAGUGUGGGGGCAAAGACCAGGUCAGCCAU
rnacentral:ncRNA from 1 species